rnacentral:sRNA from 1 species
GUCUUCUCCUAGGCUAACGGACCCUACAGAAACAAGAUGUUGUCCAAAUCGCUUCUGUUCGCCCUGGCAAUAUUGCUAAUUUAUAUUACAGUCGAAACUUACUCGUAUCCACGCAAAGGAGGUCAAGGCCCUAAAGAAGGAAGCGUUGGCCGAGAAAAAAGUCAAGGAAAGUCGAAGGGAAAAGGGAGAGGAAAGG